GAUGAAGAACGUAGCGAAAUGCGAUAAGUAAUGUGAAUUGCAGAAUUCAGUGAAUCAUCGAGUCUUUGAACGCACAUUGCGCCCCCUGGUAUUCCGGGGGGCAUGCCUGUCCGAGCGUCAUUGCUGCCCUCAAGCACGGCUUGUGUGUUGGGCCCCCGUCCCCGGUUUCCCCCGGGGACGGGCCCGAAAGGCAGCGGCGGCACCGCGUCCGGUCGUCGAGCGUAUGGGGCUUUGUCACCUGCUCUGUAGGCCCGGCCGGCGCCAGCCGACACCCAACUUUAUUUCUAAGGUUGACCUCGGAUCAGGUAGGGAUACCCGCUGAACUUAAGCAUAUCAAUAAGCGGAGGA
rnacentral:misc_RNA from 1 species